rnacentral:rRNA from 1 species
AGUGGCCUUCGGGAACUCUGAGACAGGUGCUGCAUGGCUGUCGUCAGCUCGUGUUGUGAAAUGUUGGGUUAAGUCCCGNAACGAGCGCAACCCUUAUCCUUUGUUGCCAGCACGUAAUGGUGGGAACUCAAAGGAGACUGCCGGUGAUAAACCGGAGGAAGGUGGGGAUGACGUCAAGUCAUCAUGGCCCUUACGAGUAGGGCUACACACGUGCUACAAUGGCGCAUACAAAGAGAAGCGACCUCGCGAGAGCAAGCGGACCUCAUAAAGUGCGUCGUAGUCCGGAUUGGAGUCUGCAACUCGACUCCAUGAAGUCGGAAUCGCUAGUAAUCGUAAAUCAGAAUGUUACGGUGAAUACGUUCCCGGGCCUUGUACACACCGCCCGUCACACCAUGGGAGUGGGUUGCAAAAGAAGUAGAUAGCUUAACCUUCGGGAGGGCGUUUACCACUUUGUGAUUCAUGACUGGGGUGAAGUCGUAACAAGGUAGGCGUAGUGCU